rnacentral:tRNA from 1 species
GCGGUCGUAGUCUAGUUCGGUAGGACAUCAAAGCGCUGUUAUUAUUAACGGUACUAUGGAAGCUUCCCAAGCUGACGACCCGGGUUCAAAUCCCGGCGACCGCACCA